rnacentral:rRNA from 1 species
UAAUACGGAGGGGGCAAGCGUUGUUCGGAAUUAUUGGGCGUAAAGGGCGUGUAGGCGGCCUGACCAAGUCGGAUGUGAAAUCCCUCGGCUCAACCGAGGAACUGCAUCCGAUACUGGUUGGCUAGAGUCCGGGAGAGGGUGGCGGAAUUCCCAGUGUAGCGGUGAAAUGCGUAGAUAUUGGGAAGAACACCGGUGGCGAAGGCGGCUACCUAGACCGGAACUGACGCUGAGGCGCGAAAGCCAGGGGAGCGAAUGGGAUUAGAUACCCCGGUAGUCCUGGCUGUAAACGAUGGGCACUUGGUGUGGCGGGUACUGACCCCCGCCGUGUCGUAGCUAACGCGUUAAGUGCCCCGCCUGGGGAGUACGGUCGCAAGGCUG